AGCUUGGUGUAGUGGUUUGAGCACUGGACUAUAAUUUUGGAGAUCCGGGUUCGAUUCCCCGCUCAGCCA